rnacentral:rRNA from 1 species
GGUCUAGCCUGCGCAGUGAUAAAUUCAACGGCCGCGGUAACCUAACCGUGCGAAGGUAGCAUAAUCACUUGUUCCUUAAAUAGGGACUUGAAUCAACGGCACCACGAGGGUUACACUGUCUCCUUUCCCUAAUCAAUGAAACUGAUCUUCCCGUGAAGAAGCGGGAAUAAAACCAUAAGACGAGAAGACCCCAUGGAGCUUCAAACUAAACGGCACCUCAACUUCCCCACCCCCACACAUAAUAGAGUAAUGCCUAGAAGUUUUGGGUUGGGGCGACCGCGGAGUAUAAAACAACCUCCACAACGAAAAGAACUAAACCUUCAUCCAAGAGACACCUCUCAAAGAACUAGAACCCUAACGAACAAUGACCCGAUACGAUCAAUGAACCAAGUUACCCUGGGGAUAACAGCGCAAUCUACCCCAAGAGCCCCUAUCGACGGGUAGGCUUACGACCUCGAUGUUGGAUCAGGGUAACCUGGCGG